rnacentral:rRNA from 1 species
GACGAACGCUGGCGGCGUGCCUAAUACAUGCAAGUCGAACGCAGUGGGGACGGGUUAGUAACACGUGGGUAACCUCCCAUCAGAGGGGAUAACACUUGGAAACAGGUGCUAAACCCAUACUGAUGGAUGAACCCCCAGUGCAUUAGCUACUGGGGAAGGUAACGGCUCACCAAGUCCAAGAUGCAUAACUGACCUGAGAGGAUGAUCGGCCACACUGGGACUGAGACACGGCCCAGACUCCUACGGGAGGCAGAAGUAGGGAAUAUUCGGCAAUGGACGAAAGUCUGACGGAGCAACGCCGCGUGAAUGAAGAAGGUUUUCGGGUCGUAAAACUCUGUUGGUAGGGAGGCGGUAUCUAACCAAAAAGCAACGGCUAACUACGUGCCAGCAGCCGCGGUAAUUC